GCCGAGGUGGCGAAAUGGCAGACGCACUACCUUGAGGUGGUAGCGAGAGCAAUCUUGUAAGGGUUCAAGUCCCUUCCUCGGCACCA
rnacentral:tRNA from 1 species